rnacentral:rRNA from 1 species
UGUCGGUUCGCCGCCCGUCGGUGUCAACUGGCAUGUCCUGUGGAACGUCCUGCCGGUGGCGGACCGGGCUUUCGGCUUGCGUAAGGGCUUACGCUCGAAGCAGGCCGAACAGUACCGGCCGCCGGUCCAAUCCCGCCACGGUGCUCUUCACCGAGUGUCGAGGUGGGCCGGCACGUUUACUUUGAACAAAUUAGAGUGCUUAAAGCAGGCUGGUGUCCGCCUGAAUACUGUGUGCAUGGAAUAAUAGAAUAGGACCUCGGUUCUAUUUUGUUGGUUUUCGGAACCCGAGGUAAUGAUUAAUAGGGACAGGCGGGGGCAUUCGUAUUGCGACGUUAGAGGUGAAAUUCUUGGAUCGUCGCAAGACGAACCUAAGCGAAAGCAUUUGCCAAGUAUGUUCUCGUUAAUCAAGAACGAAAGUUAGAGGUUCGAAGGCGAUCAGAUACCGCCCUAGUUCUAACCAUAAACGAUGCCAGCCAGCGAUCCGCCGAAGUUCCUCCGAUGACUCGGCGGGCAGCUUCCGGGAAACCAAAGCUUUUGGGUUCCGGGGGAAGUAUGGUUGCAAAGCUGAAACUUAAAGGAAUUGACGGAAGGGCACCACCAGGAGUGGAGCCUGCGGCUUAAUUUGACUCAACACGGGAAACCUCACCAGGCCCGGACACCGGAAGGAUUGACAGAUUGAGAGCUCUUUCUUGAUUCGGUGGGUGGUGGUGCAU